UGGUACAGGUAGAUCAAUGGAAUAG
rnacentral:misc_RNA from 1 species